rnacentral:rRNA from 1 species
GAUGAACGCUGGCGGCGUGCCUAAUACAUGCAAGUCGAGCGAACGGACGAGAAGCUUGCUUCUCUGAUGUUAGCGGCGGACGGGUGAGUAACACGUGGAUAACCUACCUAUAAGUCUGGGAUAACUUCGGGAAACCGGAGCUAAUACCGGAUAAUAUUUUGAACCGCAUGGUUCAAAAGUGAAAGACGGUCUUGCUGUCACUUAUAGAUGGAUCCGCGCUGCAUUAGCUAGUUGGUAAGGUAACGGCUUACCAAGGCAACGAUGCAUAGCCGACCUGAGAGGGUGAUCGGCCACACUGGAACUGAGACACGGUCCAGACUCCUACGGGAGGCAGCAGUAGGGAAUCUUCCGCAAUGGGCGAAAGCCUGACGGAGCAACGCCGCGUGAGUGAUGAAGGUCUUCGGAUCGUAAAACUCUGUUAUUAGGGAAGAACAUAUGUGUAAGUAACUGUGCACAUCUUGACGGUACCUAAUCAGAAAGCCACGGCUAACUACGUG